UACGUAGGGUGCAAGCGUUAAUCGGAAUUACUGGGCGUAAAGCGUGCGCAGGCGGUUCGCCAAGUCAGGUGUGAAAUCCCCGGGCUUAACCUGGGAAUUGCGCUUGAAACUAGCGGGCUUGAGUGUGGCAGAGGGGGGUGGGAAUUCCACGUGUAGCAGUGAAAUGCGUAGAGAUGUGGAGGAAUACCGAUGGCGAAGGCAGCCCCCUGGGAUAACACUGACGCUCAUGCACGAAAGCGUGGGGAGCAAACAGG
rnacentral:rRNA from 1 species